rnacentral:lncRNA from 1 species
AGUUAAAUCCAGAUGGGUCUGUUGAGCAGAGCAACUCCUCGCCAACUCCUCCUAUUCUACCACCCUCCUGCCUUGGCAUCCAGAGCAGGCAUCGCUGGCCAUUCUCAAAUGCGGUCACGUAGCUGGUCAGAGUAAAAAGAAGAGGGGCUUUUUCUUCAGAGGAGAAGAGCUCUUCAAAAAUCUUGGGUCCAGUAAGAAAAAUUAGGGAAAAGUGUACGUUGAAGAGAGAAAACUCUUCAGUGGGUCUGCGAGCUGUGGUCUCUGCUGAGAGCGCGGCCAUGGGUGCCCACCCAGUGCGGGCAGUGGCUCUGAACACAGCGUCAUGGCACUGGGGUGUGUGAGGCCUCAGCUCUAGGACACAGCUACCUCCACAGGAGAGUGUCCUGCCCCGGGCAGCCCUCAGUGCACCAGUUGCCUGUAAAUAUUUUAAUUUAAAACUUACAUUCUGGCUGUAAGUUUGCUAAAUGGCUUUCCCCAGCAAAGCCCCGGCCCCUGAGGAGGAGAUCCCUUGUCCUCCACACCCUGGUAUUUCUCUGGUCCAAAGGAGGUUGUGUCAACUCCUUCGCUUCCUGCAAAGAAAAUUUGCACUUCUCUGUUCCUGUGAAUCCCCUUUGCUGUCUCUGAGCUGAGGAGUGAGUUCUUUGUUCUGUCAGCCUGUAAACAUGCAGCUGUGCCUAGGAGCAUCCCACACCGCCUCAGUCCUGUUUGGCACCAUCAUUCCCGUGCAGGAAGGAGUGAUACCCUGAAGGGGUCCAUACUUCUGCCUGUGGGCUGGGCUGCUGGAAGCUGCUCCUGUGGUUCACCUUGACCACACACUGGCUGGGGACCCCACCUUAUUUAGUUCUUUAUUAUUUCUCUCAUUUAUUUGUGUAUUUGGUUGGUUGGAUGGUGUCUGCCUCUUUCACAGUUUUCUUUGGCUGUUUCAAUGGACUGCUCCCGAGUUGGAGAGUUUGGAAAGCAGAGCUGGGGUAGGAGAGAUUGCAGCUAUUUUCAUAUGAGGUGAUGUGUUCCUUGAGUUCAGACACAUUCCUUUCUAAGCCACGGAGAGUUUUGUACUACAUGGUUUCUAUCCUUUUCAACGUUUCUUUCUUUGCCUGUUUCGGGGGGGUACUUGUUUUGAGAAGGACAGUUCCCUGAGAAUGUUGCCAGGAAAUGAUGCCAGCAAAGUGUCCAGAGUGUUGGUGAUGUGGUAUGUUUUUAUUUAAUAUCAAAUUUUAUUAUAAUAAAGUCUAUUUUCACAAAAA